UUAUUAUUAAAAACAAUAAUCAUUAUUAUUUUUUCCAUUGUAAUAACAUGUAAAAAAACGUAUUUCCCAUAUGCUCAGUGGAGAAAAUUUGGAAAUAAGGAAAGUAGCAAGAAGAAGUGGGGGGAAAGAGGCACCCAUAAUUCUAUUACCCAGAGUCAAAAACAUCUUUUAACACUUUUUCUGUGCAUUAAAAACAAAAAAAGAAAAUUAUACCUCCAUCAUUUCUGCUGUGACCUGCAUUGUGACAGCACAAUGUUGGCCAGUUAUGGUGCAGAAAACAGUGCUACCCCUGGGAGCCUGGAGUGUGGUGGGAGAUAGCUCCAAUAGUGGCAGGUGCUGUGCAGGAAGAGGCUCGUGUGAAAGUACUGGAGGGCUGCCAUGGGGCACGGUGAUGGGGACAUGGGGCCAUGCCGUCUGCACAAGGCCAAGUGGAAGAGCAGAUUUUUCACGGUAAAUGUAGGCAGACCCUUUUUUUUUUCCUGGUUGUCUAACCUAUUAUUGUAGAAGUGCUCAUAUACAUUCUUUUCCAUCUGCGCUUUGGCAGGAUGACAUCAUUGAUGAUGUUGACAGCUUUCUUGCUGCAGCAGAGACCCUGAAGGAAAGAGGUGCAUAUAAGAUCUUUGUGAUGGCAACUCAUGGCUUGUUGUCUUCUGACGCCCCCCGGCUGAUUGAAGAGUCUGCCAUUGAUGAGGUGGUGGUCACCAAUACAAUUCCACAUGAAGUCCAGAAGCUCCAGUGCCCCAAGAUUAAAACUGUGGAUAUCAGCAUGAUCCUUUCAGAGGCGAUCCGUCGGAUCCACAAUGGGGAGUCCAUGUCCUACCUUUUCAGAAACAUAGGCUUAGAUGACUGAGUUUUCCUUUAGGAAAACUCCUGAGGGCCAAACUGGAAACAUAAGAGUGACUGCUCGGUGGGAUAGAUUUCACAGGAACCGUCAUGCUUGUUCCUCCCUCUCCCCUGUAACCUCACUUCUUAUUGAUUCCUAAGAAGAUAGACCAACUUUUUAUGUCGGUUUGGGUGUUUGUGAGUUUGGGGAGCAAUUUUUAUAAAAGAAAAACUUUAUUCUCCUCUUUUGAAAAGGUAAGACCUUGUUUUAGUUUUAACUGUUUAAAAAAUAACACUUGGAAUAAGAUUUGUAAGCUCACAAGGCCUUUUUCCAAAGUUGCUUGAGCCAAGUGCUUAAAAAGUUAAUAAAAUAAAAUGAUCUGUAUGAUACCUGCAAUUGAAAAGCCGAAAAGAUUAUACUGUCAAGUCCAGUAAAUGACAUUUUUAGAGAUGCUUUUGUAGACAAGCAUAUGGAAUAUGUGAUUGUAUUUAUUUUCUGCAACUAAAAAAGGAAUAAAAACUUGUGUUUGUGUGUUUUUCUAAAACUUUGUGUUUUGGCAAUCGUUUUAUAACUAAAAUAAAAUGAAAGCUAAAUCUA
rnacentral:sRNA from 1 species